rnacentral:rRNA from 1 species
AUUGAACGCUGGCGGCAUGCCUUACACAUGCAAGUCGAACGGUAACAGGCCUUCGGAUGCUGACGAGUGGCGAACGGGUGAGUAAUACAUCGGAACGUGCCCGAUCGUGGGGGAUAACGAAGCGAAAGCUUUGCUAAUACCGCAUACGAUCUACGGAUGAAAGCAGGGGACCGCAAGGCCUUGCGCGAACGGAGCGGCCGAUGGCAGAUUAGGUAAUUGGUGGGAUAAAAGCUUACCAAGCCGACGAUCUGUAGCUGGUCUGAGAGGACGACCGGCCACACUGGGACUGAGACACGGCCCAGACUCCUACGGGAGGCAGCAGUGGGGAAUUUUGGACAAUGGGCGAAAGCCUGAUCCAGCCAUGCCGCGUGCAGGAUGAAGGCCUUCGGGUUGUAAACUGCUUUUGUACGGAGCGAAAAGACUCUGGUUAAUACCUGGGGUCCAUGACGGUACCGUAAGAAUAAGCACCGGCUAACUACGUGCCAGCCGCCGCGGUAACAC